CGUUUCCGCCGGCCGGUGUCGCGCCGGGUCCCGGGGGCGGGCGGCGGCGGCGGGCGGCGCGGAAGCGGCGGCCGGGCAGCCAUGUCGCCUUUGUCUGCGGCGCGGGCGGCCCUGCGGGUCUACGCGGCGGGCGCGGCGGUGGUGUUGGCGCAGCUGCUGCGGCGCUGCCUCGGGGGCUUCGCGGAGCCAGUUUUUCCCCCACAACGCGACCGUGUGGCCAUAGUGACUGGAGGCACGGAUGGCAUCGGCUAUGCCACGGCGAAGCAGCUGGCGAGGCUCGGCAUGCACGUGAUCAUAGCCGGAAACAAUGACAGCAAAGCCCAAGACGUUGUGCGGAGACUAAAAGAGGAGACGUCGAAUGACAAAGUGGAGUUUUUAUACUGUGAUCUGGCUUCCCUGACGUCCAUCAGGCAAUUCGUCCAGAAGUUCAAGAAGAAGAAAAUCCCUCUCCAUGUCCUGGUCAAUAACGCCGGCGUGAUGAUGGUCCCGCAGAGGAGGACCAGAGACGGAUUUGAGGAGCACUUCGGGCUGAACUACCUGGGCCACUUCGUCCUCACCAACCUCCUGCUGGACUCCCUGAAGGAGGCCGGACGCCCCGGCCGCACCGCCAGGGUGGUGACCGUGUCGUCCGCCACGCAUUACGUGGGCGAGCUGCGCAUGCGCGACCUGCACGGCAGCCGCUGCUACUCCCCCCACGGCGCCUACGCCCAAAGCAAGCUGGCGCUCGUCCUGUUCACCUACCACCUGCAGAGACUGCUGGCCGCCCAGGGGAGCCCCGUGACCGCCAACGUGGCCGACCCGGGGGUGGUCGACACGGACCUGUACAGACACGUCUUCUGGGGCACGCGUCUCAUCCAGAAGAUGCUCGGCUGGUGGGCGUUCAAGACCCCAGAUGAGGGAGCCUGGACCUCCGUCUAUGCAGCGGUCACCCCGGACCUGGAGGGAAUCGGCGGCCGCUACCUUUACAACGAGAAAGAGACCAAGUCUCUGACGGUCACGUACGACCGAGAUCUCCAGAGACAGCUGUGGGCCACAAGUUGCCGGAUGACCGGCAUCCCUGACGUGACCCAAGACACCCUCUUGGAGUAACGGCCACAUUGGGAAGACCUCGCCUCGGGCCCGGCAAACGCAGGUCUGUGACCGAUCCCCGCGUCUGCCUUUUCCACAGCUGCUGCCUUCAGGGCUCUGUCCCCAACGGUCUCCUGUCCGCUGUCCUGCCUUUGUGGGAAAUCGGGGAACAGAAGAAAUAUUGAGUGUAGCCUCCAAGUGGCCGUGAGCCAUAAAUUGUGUGCCAAGUUUCUCCCAAGUGCCAGGAACCAUUAAAUGCUGCCUAACCCAAGUGUUCCAUGUUUCUUGAGUGACACACGGCAGGGAGUAGCUUUGAGGAGACACGUUCCAAGUGACACAGGCACUUUGACACGAGCAUGAAGCGUCGGGUCUCCAGAGGUUUCUGGGUCCCGUGAGUCCUUUGUUCUCCCACGCACCCACUAUUCUGGACACUCAGCUUGGACUCCUGGGUCCCCAAGACAGAGAGACAUGAGCCUUCCUCAGUCUGUUGGGUCCAGGUUGAGGUGGAAACCCAUGUUCUACUCCACACUUUGACAGUGACCCGGCCCCGGCUGCCACCUUCUGCCCGUAGGUCUGCUGUCAUGAGCUCCAGCCCAUCGUCAUGUGGAUAUGACCAAUGCCAGUCAGGGAUUCCACACAACAGGUGGGCGGACAGGGUCCGGGAUGGCACUCCCCGUAGAGAUCUGUAGGAUGGGGAGGAAGAGAGGGGUCUGCACAGCUCUUGCCAUGGGUUGUGUCCCCAUGGGUUGUGUCCCUAACAGAAUGUCUGUUAAGGUUUCCAUUGGCACCCUUCCUAGAGACAUCUGCAGGACCCGGUUUAUACUUACUCCAGGAAACUAGACGAGUCAUAAAAAUAUGUGAUGCCCAGUCGUGGGCGGUGAGCACAGUUCAUCAGAGCCCAGCUGAGCCGGACAUUUCCUUCUGGUUCCUUGCGGAUCCGUAGGCACAGGCAGCUUGUCCACCAGGGACGUGAGGGGCGGCACACGCAGUGGAAGUCAGGCAGACCUGGACGGUCAUUGGGGUUAUGUCCAGUCGGUCUCUCUAGGAGGUGAAGCACAAUCCGGUUCAAAAGAUACCUGCACGUGCUACCCUCCCAGAACCUGUGAAUGUGAUGCUACUCGGAAAGAUCAUCUUUGGGAGGGAAUUAGGACAAGCGGGUCAUCUUGGCUUCUCGAGGCAGACCCAACGUGAUCCCAACUUUCCUCUUCUGAAAUAAGUGGAGAGAGAUUUCAUGACAAAUGAGGAAGAGGUCAUGCGACGAUGGGGGCAGAGAUUGGAGAGACGCGGCCACACACAGGGACUCCCGGAGCCCCCGGAAGGUGGAAGAGGCAAGAAGGAUCUUCCCCGGGAGCCUCUGGAGGGAACGUGACCCUGCCCCGCCUGCAUCUCAAGAGCCCUGCCCCGCCUGGGUCUCCAGAGCUGGGGGAAGGUGAACUCCUAUGCUUCUAAGCCACCAACCGAUUGAUAGGAAUUUGGAACCUGAUAGAAUCUGAUGGAAAUUGAUAGGACCUCAUACAGUUCCCGACGCUUCCGCAUGUCUCACGCACUCUACUGGGCAGGAUCCUUGACUUUAGGGCUCACCCUCACCCCCAGUCGGGCAAGGAUGGCUCAGUCCUCCGUCUGAAGAUGUCCUCAAAUUCUAACGACGACAAACUAGCCGUUGGAAAUGCAAUAGAAAGGACGCUGUGUGUGUGCCUCUGGACUGCAGAUGCCAUUUCCAGACCAGUGACCGCAGGCUGGUCGUCUCACUCUCCAUUCCCUCAGUUGACAGAAUCUCACCAAAGACUCAAACCCGAUGUCAACUCCAGGCACAUGCAUUCUUUGGAACCACAGCCCGCAGCUCCUCCAUUGUGGGGUUCACACUGGACACGGGGACAGGUGCUUUAUAGUUCACUGCUUGGAUGUUCAGGGUGGAUGGACUGGCGCCAUGAGGCGUUCUCCUUCGGGAAUGGAGCGUCCCUUAACGGGAACUUAAUAAAAUGCAAAGGAAUGUCUUUGCUCUGGUUUGGGAGACGUGAAAUGCCCGGGGUGAGUUCUCUGUGUUUUCGUGGCCAAGGUGGUAAACCCUACAGAGACCUCCUUCUCAACAAAGAUGCUGAAGAUGUUUCUGAAGGUCCACUAAGGCUCGUGGGUUUUGGUUGCCCACUGGGGGAGCCUCUGAAAAGGAUUGCUGGUCAUCUCCAAUUUCAACAGAAUUCCAGGAGCAAUUCCGCUGGAUAAAUCAGCAUUUCUGUAGAGCUUCUGAAGGCAUCUUCUUGGUCUGCCAAGUUCAAGCACCGCCCCCCCUCCCCUGAGCCAGGCAUAUUUGAAUUACAGCUUCCAGCCCUGGGUAUCGGCACGCCCUCAGACUGCUCAGAUAUCCCACUAAAGCCCUAGACUCCGGACUAAUGUCUUUUAGAACUAGAAUCCCUUCCUUGAUUAAACCAAGAGCGAGCUGUGGCUCAUCUAGUAUUCUGAACAGCCGGGAAUUUGCACCACAAAACAGAAUCUUGAGUUCUGGAAGGUGCCAACGUUGGAGCAUUUAUAUGUCAUCAGAGAACCUAUUGCAGCUUGAGGCCAUUGUACACAAAUGCCAGCGACCGUGUCCAUGAUCACAAAGGUACUUUCCGAGUCGAGGCUCAGGAUGGCUCCUGGCCAAGCCGACAUCUUCCACCGCUGAGAUAACACACACGCCGGGAUUUGACAGAUGCCACAGUCCCCAAGCUGAGAAGACGCGCUUCACAAACAAUUUGAACGUUGUAGGACCCUGGCCUCAGAUUCCUCCUCCUUGUUACGUGACAGCCCUUAUGUUUCUUUUCCUCCCUGGGAGAGAGAGGGAAGAAAACAACCACAUAGUUCUGGAGAAGGUAGCUUGUUCCCUCGACACCGGAUCAUAAAAUUCCUCGGAGACAUUUCCCAGAAGCUGGAGAAAUCGUGCGGAUCUCUGGGACUGAACGAUGUUCUCCAGCCAGACACCAGACGUAUCUAAUAUCCCUGGGGACUUGGGUUUCGCGUGACUGGGUAUUUUGUUUGCUUUUACAAAAACAACUCUGUCUUCUCACUGUUGUGAUCACAAGGAGAAUUUCUGAAGCAAUUCUUGUCUCCACAUCAAGGCGGGCUUACUGCUCGUUCCCCAGGAGUUUCGUUGUUACCCAAUAUUACGGAUUUUCAAGAAAAUCGUGUGACGUUCUGUCUCAAGAAGGGCAGCGUCUAAUUUCGCCAGGAGGCUUUUAGAAACUUCUGGAAAUGCAUCGAACAAAAGUGCUUCUGGGGGAAAACAGCAGAGAUGCUUUAUAUGUGCUGACAGCUCCAGGCACCUCUGGGGAGUUUUCUGCCCGUCUGACUGUUUCCAAGGAGAGGGGUUUCAUUUCUGUGAUGAAACCAAAUAACGAGAUCCCUCCAAACAGAAAUAUAGCCUCCUUCUCUCUCUUCACGGAGGCCUAAAAUCCACUGAAAUUGUUUACCGUCCCCCGCCCUUGGUUUCCUUAGAUAAAUAAAUUUCUUAUUCUUGUGGGGA